CCUACGGGCGGCAGCAGUGGGGAAUAUUGGGCAAUGGGCGCAAGCCUGAACCAGCAACGUCGCGUGAAGGAAGACGGCUUUCGGGUUGUUAACUCCCUUUAAGAGGGAAGAGCAGAAGACGGUACCUCCUGAAUAAGCCACGGCUAACUACGUGCCAGCAGCCGCGGUAAUACGUAGGUGGCAAGCGUUGUCCGGAUUUACUGGGUGUAAAGGGCGUGCAGCCGGGAAGACAAGUCAGAUGUGAAAUCUUGCGGCUCAAUCGCGGGACUGCAUUUGAAACUGUUUUUCUUGAGUACCGGAGAGGUCAUCGGAAGUCGUUGUGUAGCGGUGAAAUGCGUAGAUAUAAGGAAGAACACCAGUGGCGAAGGCGGAUGACUGGACGGCGACUGACGGUGAGGCGCGAAAGCGUGGGGAGCGAACAGGAUUAGAUACCCUAGUAGUC
rnacentral:rRNA from 1 species